rnacentral:tRNA from 2 species
GCCCGGAUGGCGGAAUCGGUAGACGCGUUGGUCUCAAACACCAAUGAUAGCAAUAUCGUGCCGGUUCGACCCCGGCUCCGGGUACCA